CUAGCAUAUCAAUAAGCGGAGGAAAAGAAACCAACAGGGAUUGCCCUAGUAACGGCGAGUGAAGCGGCAACAGCUCAAAUUUGAAAUCUGGCUCUUUUAGAGUCCGAGUUGUAAUUUGCAGAGGGCGCUUUGGCUUUGGCAGCGGUCCAAGUUCCUUGGAACAGGACGUCACAGAGGGUGAGAAUCCCGUACGUGGUCGCUGGCUAUUGCCGUGUAAAGCCCCUUCGACGAGUCGAGUUGUUUGGGAAUGCAGCUCUAAAUGGGAGGUACAUUUCUUCUAAAGCUAAAUAUUGGCCAGAGACCGAUAGCGCACAAGUAGAGUGAUCGAAAGAUGAAAAGCACUUUGGAAAGAGAGUCAAACAGCACGUGAAAUUGUUGAAAGGGAAGCGCUUGCAGCCAGACUUGCUUACAGUUGCUCAUCCGGGUUUUUACCCGGUGCACUCUUCUGUAGGCAGGCCAGCAUCAGUUUGGGCGGUAGGAUAAAGGUCUCUGUCACGUACCUCCUUUCGGGGAGGCCUUAUAGGGGAGACGACAUACUACCAGCCUGGACUGAGGUCCGCGCAUCUGCUAGGAUGCUGGCGUAAUGGCUGUAAGCGGCCCGUCUUGAAACACGGACCAAGGAGUCUAACAUCUAUGCGAGUGUUUGGGUGUCAAGCCCGAGCGCGUAAUGAAAGUGAACGGAGGUGGGAACCCGCAAGGGUGCACCAUCGACCGAUCCUGAUGUCUUCGGAAGGAUUUGAGUAAGAGCAUGGCUGUUGGGACCCGAAAGAUGGUGAACUAUGCUUGAAUAGGGUGAAGCCAGAGGAAACUCUGGUGGAGGCUCGCAGCGGUUCUGACGUGCAAAUCGAUCGUCAAAUUUGGGCAUAGGGGCGAAAGACUAAU
rnacentral:rRNA from 1 species